rnacentral:lncRNA from 1 species
GUCAGACAAACACACAGACACGCACACACUCACGCACAUGCGCCAGCCCCAGCGCCACUAACUACAAAUCCCAGCAGGCAGAGGUGGUGUGGGGCCUAGAGUCUGAUGUUUUCCUCCGGAAGUGGAGUCCGGCAGGUGUGGUGGCGAUCCCUUCGGGGAGGGGUGGCUGGCCGCAGACUAAGGGCUGCUGGUACAGGGAACGGUGGGUGUUAACGAGGGCCCACAGUAGGCACACGGGGUGCGCACCUCCUUGACUCGGACUCCAUUGCCCGGGCUAACUCCGGUACAGGAGGGAGGAUGAGACCCUGAAGCGGGACUGAGCUUGUUAGGGUCCUUGUAUGGCUUGCAAGUCUCAGGAAAGGCCUGGGUCCUCCUUGUCCCCUGAAUGUAGGUCCUGACCCUGGGCAUCAGGAUGGGAGGCUACUCUGGGGGCAAUAAUGGAGACACUCGUAAGCUACCACUCUCUUAAAGGCCUCUGCCCCCAACCCAUGUGUCACGACUCUUGUUCUAAUUUCCCAGGUUGCCCAAAGAGCCUCUGAGAUGCUGAAGGGACUUACCCAAACCCUUCAGUGCAAACCGAGCUAGAUGGGGUGAGCGGAGCUGAGGCCCCCCACUUCCUCCACCUCCGCCUGGGGCUGCUCUCUCCUGAAGUCUCUUCUCAGCUGAUUUCUGGCUCCCAAGUGGGGACUCAGGUUACACCUGUAUUGGGAGCAGUGACACCGUGGUGGCCAGGAACGUAUGGACUUUCUGUCUCCGACCCCAUUUUUAGUUUCUACAUUCCUGUGCUGCUGCAGGCCUGAUGGUCAGUAUAGAUCCAGAAGUCAGGCUCUGAGGGUGUGGCCAUGACACUGUUAAGAAAGCCCUCACUCUCUUCUGCCAGGGUGAGACCGCCUACUUUCUGGAAAUAUUCCAGCUAGUCUCAAAACAAUUAGGAACGACUUCAGAAGGAACUCCAAGUAGAUUGCCUACGUUCUCCUGGUAGCAAGGUGAAAUUGGUAUUAAUUGGUCCCAAUGGUCUCCAUGUAUACCCAUGUAGGCCUGGAAAUUUCUCAGAGACUUCUUUUUGAGUUCUGGAUCUUUCUGUUAAGACAACUAACAUUUGGGAAGCUGAGGCAGAAGGAUCAUGAGUUCAGGUCCAGCUUGGGCUACGUAAUGAGACUGUCAAAAAAAAAAAAAAAGCAAAACAAAAAUCCAUCAUUUUAAAUAGGUUCUUGCCACAGAGGUAAGAGGUAAAUACCAUAAAAGUUUGGGGACAACCAUUGCUCCAGUCCCUAGUUGAAGAGCCCAUUCUCCCACGAUUAGAAUUUAUUUUUAUUAUUAAUUUUUGGUUGGGAGGGGUUGAUGUAGUUGUUUUGUUUGAGGCUGUCAUAGAAAUGUUUGAGUCAACCAGGCCUGUAAUCCCAGUUUCUCAGGAGGCUGAGGCAAGAAAAUUUCAAGUUUAAGGCCUGCCUGGAUCACUUAGUGAAACCCUGUCUCAAAGUCAAACGUGCAAAAAAGAAAUAAAAAGGAUAAAAUAAAUAAAAAGGAAGGACAUGGUGCUCCCAGGUAUGGUAAAGGAGAAGGUUUAUUGUAGAUAUGAGGGAGGAAACAGGAAGAGAGAUCUGGAAAGUCCAGAGUGAACAUGACCCUGAUCCAAGCGAUGUGAAAAGAGGGAGGAGGGAUAGAGACAAGAGACCAAAAUGCCUAAAGGGCACAAAAGGCCCCGAGUAGCCGAAAUGGCUGGAUUAUAUAGGGAAGAGCAGCUGGGGGCAGGCUGGAGAAGACGGGGAGAGGGCAAGGUGUGCCAGCCAGGAGGACCCUGUAACAGGUUUGGAGGCAGACAUUUAUCGUUUGGUACAAGAAGGCAUUCCUCUGAG